rnacentral:rRNA from 1 species
AAGCAACGCGAAGAACCUUACCAGGUCUUGACAUCCCCAUGACCUCUCUAGAGAUAGAGAUUUCCCUUCGGGGACAUGGGUGACAGGUGGUGCAUGGUUGUCGUCAGCUCGUGUCGUGAGAUGUUGGGUUAAGUCCCGCAACGAGCGCAACCCUUGAUCUUAGUUGCCAGCAUUCAGUUGGGCACUCUAAGGUGACUGCCGGUGACAAACCGGAGGAAGGUGGGGAUGACGUCAAAUCAUCAUGCCCCUUAUGACCUGGGCUACACACGUGCUACAAUGGAUGGUACAAAGAGCAGCGAAACCGCGAGGUCGAGCUAAUCUCAUAAAGCCAUUCUCAGUUCGGAUUGUAGGCUGCAACUCGCCUACAUGAAGCCGGAAUUGCUAGUAAUCGCGGAUCAGCAUGCCGCGGUGAAUACGUUCCCGGGCCUUGUACACACCGCCCGUCACACCACGAGAGUUUGUAACACCCGAAGUCGGUGGAGUAACCCUUAUGGGAGCUAGCCGCCUAAGGUGG